rnacentral:rRNA from 1 species
UACGGGGGGUGCGAGCGUUGUCCGGAAUCACUGGGCGUAAAGGGCGCGUAGGUGGUCUGAUAAGGGUGUGGUGAAAGUCCGGGGCUCAACCCCGGAUCUGCCGUGCCGACUGUCAGACUCGAGGACUGUAGAGGCAGGCGGAAUUCCGGGUGUAGCGGUGGAAUGCGUAGAGAUCAGGAGGAACACCGGUGGCGAAGGCGGGUCUCUGGGCCGAUACUGACGCUGAGGAGCGAAAGCGUGGGGAGCGAACAGG